rnacentral:ncRNA from 2 species
UGUCAAAGUGAAGAAAUUCAACCAAGCGCG